rnacentral:misc_RNA from 1 species
UUGUGGAGGAGGACGCCGAAGGUGGGGCUAAUGACUGGGGUGAAGUCGUAACAAGGUAGCCGUACCGGAAGGUGCGGCUGGAUCACCUCCUAACAGGGAGACAACAAAAUGUUUAAUAUUAUUAUUUUGUCACCUUAGGUCGAUCGGUAUCUCACGUUCUUAGUUUAUUAAGAAUUUCAUUUCCUAAGUUUUUCUAGGUCACACCCAUUAUUUUCCUGGGCCAUUAGCUCAGGUGGUUAGAGCGCACCCCUGAUAAGGGUGAGGUCCCUGGUUCAAGUCCAGGAUGGCCCAUAUCUCUAUGUUGGGGGUAUAGCUCAGUUGGUAGAGCGCCUGCUUUGCAAGCAGGAUGUCAGCGGUUCGAGUCCGCUUACCUCCACUGAUUACCACCUCUUCCAUAAUCUGUAGAAAGGAAAAUUUUGAGUUGUGACAAAAUUCUGAACGAAUCUAGCUUCCUAAUGAAAUCAUUAAGAUGCUGGACUCAUUGAAUUAAUUUCAUUGUUUUCAGAGAACCUUGACAACUGCAUAGAUUAUUUUUAAAGACAAUAAGCAUCUUUAAUGAUGCAGAUUUAUUAUUUGUGCGAAUGCAUUAAUAACAAUUCUAUUAAGCUGAUGCUUCAAUUAUGAAGUUAUUGGUCAAGCUACAA